CCUACGGGAGACAGCAGUGAGGAAUAUUGGUCAAUGGUCGGGAGACUGAACCAGCCAAGCCGCGUGAGGGAGGAAGGUACAGAGUAUCGUAAACCUCUUUUGUCAGGGAACAAAGGCGGGGACGUGUCCCCGGAUGAGUGUACCUGAAGAAAAAGCAUCGGCUAACUCCGUGCCAGCAGCCGCGGUAAUACGGAGGAUGCGAGCGUUAUCCGGAUUUAUUGGGUUUAAAGGGUGCGCGGGCGGUCUGUUAAGUCAGCGGUAAAAGCCCGGGGCUCAACCCCGGCCCGCCGUUGAAACUGGCAGUCUCGAGUUGGAGAGAAGUAUGCGGAAUGCGCGGUGUAGCGGUGAAAUGCAUAGAUAUCGCGCAGAACUCCGAUUGCGAAGGCAGCAUGCCGGCUCCACACUGACGCUGAGGCACGAAAGCGUGGGUAUCGAACAGGAUUAGAUACCCUUGUAGUC
rnacentral:rRNA from 1 species